UACCAAGGUAUUAGUAGUACCCUCCCUAUCUCUCAAAACAAACAAGGUAUUAGUAAUACCAAGGUAUUAGUUAGUCCCAAGGUAUUAAUAGUCCCUAGGCUAUCUCUCAAAACAAACACCCCAUAUACUAAUCCCAAGGUACUAGUAAUCCUAAUCCCCUUGCUAUAACCCAAAACAAACGGGCCCUGGACUUACUCCAAUCGGAUGACAUUUGCUACGGUUAAGGGAGGAGGACAUAUAGCUCCACAGGACAAGCCUGUUGAAUGUUGUGCUAUGUUCGAAAGAUGGAUUUCUAAUCAACCCCUAUGAUCAAUCUUUUACCUUACCCAAAUGGAUGUGCCAACACCCAAAAGUGUGAUCAUUUUCAAGCUGCCAAAACUCCAAUACGAGACCUGGUCUUAUCUAUUGAUGCAACUAUUUUUAUAUAAACACCAUUUUAUAAGGAUGCAAUGUUGUUAUUUUUCUAUCCAUGCUCACUAGCCUGUUCGAAAAAUGAUUCCAGUGGAUCUAGAAAUAAAAUAUGGUAUUCAAGUCAGAUGUUUACUUCUUAAA